rnacentral:misc_RNA from 1 species
GUGGCAGUUACGGAUAGGGACGAUGUGUGGACCAGCGUGGCUGCGGGGCUUGGGACGGGAGCUGUGUGCCGGGCGGCGAGAGGAGUGAGGUCGGCGGCUGUGGCGGGCGCGUUGGGAGGGUUGGUGGCUGGGGCAGCGGUGGCGGGGAAGCAGACGUUGAAGAGGUAUGCGAUGAUUUAAAAUACAGAGAGAAAGAGCUUUGCAAAUUGAGUUUAGGUUCUGACUUCUAAAUUGUUCUACGAUUACCAGUUGUAUCUCUUCAAAUUUUGAUCGUGAAGUUGUUAGCCAUAUAAUGGUAUUGAUUGUAAGUUUAUGAAUCAUGAUGGUUAUAAGAAUCUUGGAAUCAAUGAGACUGAUGAACAUGCUUUGCUAAAUGGAAAUACCAGAUUAUCCUGAUA